GGGUGAACUAAACUGCAUGAGACAAGCAG
rnacentral:piRNA from 1 species